GAUGAAGAACGCAGCGAAAUGCGAUAAGUAAUGUGAAUUGCAGAAUUCAGUGAAUCAUCGAAUCUUUGAACGCACAUUGCGGCCAUAGGUAUUCCUUUGGCCAUGCCUGUUCGAGCGUCAUUUACACCCUCAAGCCUAGCUUGGUGUUGGGCGUCUGUCCCGCCGUUCUCGCGCGCGGACUCGCCUCAAAGUCAUUGGCGGCGGUCGUGCCGGCCCCCUCGCGCAGCACAUUUGCGCUUCUCGGAGGCCCGGCGGAUCCGCGCUCCAGCAAGACCUUUCACGACUUGACCUCGGAUCAGGUAGGGAUACCCGCUGAACUUAAGCAUAUCAAUGCGGAGGA
rnacentral:misc_RNA from 1 species